GCUGAAUUCGUCUAACGGUUAGGACGGCAGAUUCUCAUUCUGCAAAUAGGGGUUCGAUUCCCCUAUUCAGUAC
rnacentral:tRNA from 1 species